AUUGAACGCUGCGGCAGGCUUAACACAUGCAAGUCGAGCGAGCGGCGGACGGGUGAGUAAUGCUUAGGAAUCUGCCUAUUAGUGGGGGACAACGUCUCGAAAGGGAUGCUAAUACCGCAUACUAACAGAUGAGCCUAGGUCGGAUUAGCUAGUUGGUGGGGUAAAGGCCUACCAAGGCGACGAUCCGUAGCGGGUCUGAGAGGAUGAUCAGCCACACUUGGAACGGGAAACGGGCCAGACUUCUUCGGGAGGCAGCCGUGGGGGAGAUUGGGCAAUUGGGGGAACCCUGGUCCAGCCAUGCCGGGGUUGGGGAGAAGGCCUUAUGGUUGUAAAGCACUUUAAGCGAGGAGGCGUUACUCGCAGAAUAAGCACCGGCUAACUCUGUGCCAGCAGCCGCGGUAAUAC
rnacentral:rRNA from 1 species